rnacentral:misc_RNA from 1 species
UGUUCGAGCGUCAUUUCAACCCUCAAGCUCUGCUUGGUCUUGGGCCCCGCCGGCGACGGCAGGCCUCAAAAACAGUGGCGGCGCGUCCGGUCCCUCAGCGUAGUAAUUCUUCUCGCUGCUGGGCCCGGGUGGCGCUGGCCAGGAACCCCAAACUUUCUAUGGUUGACCUCGGAUCAGGUAGGGAUACCCGCUGAACUUAA